rnacentral:tRNA from 1 species
GCCUGGGUGGCUCAGUUGGUUGAGCGUCUGACUUCGGCUCAGGUCAUGAUCUCACACUCCAUGAGUUCGGGCCCCAUGUCGGGCU